rnacentral:rRNA from 1 species
GUUAGGAAUAUUCGUCAAUGGGGGAAACCCUGAACGAGCAAUGCCGCGUGAGUGAUGACGGUCCUUUGGAUUGUAAAACUCUGUUGUUAAGGAAAAACGAUAAGAUUAGGAAAUGAUUCUUAUUUGAUGGUACUUUUCAAGAAAGCCACGGCUAACUACGUGCCAGCAGCCGCGGUAAUACGUAGGUGGCGAGCGUUAUCCGGAUUUAUUGGGCGUAAAGCGUGCGCAGACGGUUUAUUAAGUUUGAAAUCAAAGCCCGGAGCUUAACUCCGGUUAGUUUCAAAAACUGGUAGGCUUGAGUGUGGUAGAGGCAAACGGAAUUUCUAGUGUAGCGGUAAAAUGCGUAGAUAUUAGAAGGAACACCAGUGGCGAAGGCGGUUUGCUGGGCCAUUACUGACGUUCAUGCACGAAAGCGUGGGGAGCAAAUAGGAUUAGAAACCCUAGUAGUCC